AGCACACAGACCUUCACCCUGUCCCAGCUCAGUCCCAUGGUCCCUGUGGUGGCACCCAGCUCUGAUUCCCCACAGGGAUGGCCAGGUAUAAAAGUUCCCAGGACCAUCAGUGCUCCCCUCAGGUGUGAUGAGGACAAAUUCAACUGGAGAUUGCAAUGGCCUCUCCCAUUCACUGCAGGCUUGGGAUGAAGAUGAGUAACUGCAGGGUUUUACUGCUGAUGAACUCAGCCAAAGAACAAUUUUUCUUCAUCCAUCAAUGAGGAGACAAGCUCCUGGCAAAAUGCCCUUCGGUCUUAUCUGCAAAGGCAGAAGACAACAACAUCCCCCUCUGGUUCCAACACCAUUUCAGUUCAACUCACAACAGCACCUCCAGGAGCUCCAGCUAUCCCCGUCACCUUGUGACAUAAUGAUCAGAAGCAGUUCGUUCAUCCACUGGCUGACAAUAUUGAUGCUGUAUUGUUGACAGUAAGAAUCAGUAUUUCUCAAGAAAAAAAUAAACAUAAAUUUAACACACAAGGGGAAUAUAGAAAGCACUUUUACCUAUUUGCAGAUUUAAAUCUAAACCCAGUAGUUUACAAUGCCUGAAUUUAAGCACAUAUUGUCUGUUAUGGCUUGAGUUUUCUUAGAUUGUUCAGAUUUUUCAGGAAUGGACAGUUGAAAACCUCUGCAAGAAUUCCAAGUUUCAAAGAGCAGCAGUCAGCACUUUCAGAAAAGCAUAACUUUACUGUGGCCACGCAGAAAUGGAAGUAACCAGACACCCCAAUCCAUUUAAAUGAAAAUCUUACCUGUGAAAAUAAUUUCAGCAAGUGCUAAUUACAGUUAUCACAACGGCCUGGUUAAAUGGCAACUGUUUUUCUAACUACUCAAAAGCUGCAUUCACUUUUAAUUUCCUUUACACUUGAAAGUGUUACCAAUAUUCAGAGCCUGUUUAUUAUUAUUAUUAUUAUUAUUAUUAUUAUUAUUGUUUUUUAAAUCAGUAUAGCUGUACUUGUUGAAGCCCAAGUGCAAGCACCAGUUGAACUGGGAUAAAGCAGCCUUGUGCUGGGAUCCUUUGUUCCAUUCCUUCAUGAAGCAGAUGGCUCAACCUGACAGCCACAAGGAAAAUUGUCAUUUUAACUGUUCCAGUCACCAAUUUUUAAGCACAGACAAGCUCUCAGCCAGUCAGCCAUCAGCACAAACUGACAUGGGUCCCCCCUGUAUGAUUGGCAGGUGCACGAACAGUUCCCCAGACGCCAACCUCAUUCAAUCUGACCUUUUCAUUUUAAAUGAAAACCACUUAAAAGCCUGCCCUGUUCUGACAUACGUCUUUUUAUGUCUUUCCCACUCUGUGCCAAUAUAUUUGUUAUUUUCUGGCCAAAGUUCCCAAACUAUGAAAUCUCACGUUAUCUCCUCCACUGCCAGAGCCCUGAUCCUCAGGCGCUCUGGCCACCACCAGCACCAAGGGAGCCAUCUGAGGUCUCCACAUUCUCACACACUGGAAAAUUGGGCCCCUUACAUACUCCCCUCAAUUUGGAGUCCAAAUCUGACUUAAAAUUCAGCUUAUAUAAAUCAGUAGCGUCGCACUUGAACACAGCCACAUGGAGACGGGCUCCUCUUUCUACCCUGGGACACUGACUCAUGCAGGAUCCGGCCCUGUGUUUGCUUCUCAGGUUUCAUAUAUUAAAAUUA